rnacentral:rRNA from 1 species
GACGAACGCUGGCGGCGUGCUUAACACAUGCAAGUCGAACGGAAAGGCCCUGCUUUUGUGGGGUGCUCGAGUGGCGAACGGGUGAGUAACACGUGAGUAACCUGCCCUUUACUUUGGUAUAACUUCAGGAAACUGGGGCUAAUACCGGAUAGGAGCUCCUGCUGCAUGGUGGGGGUUGGAAAGUUUCGGCGGUUGGGGAUGGACUCGCGGCUUAUCAGCUUGUUGGUGGGGUAGUGGCUUACCAAGGCUUUGACGGGUAGCCGGCCUGAGAGGGUGACCGGCAACAUUGGGACUGAGAUACGGCCCAGAAUCCUACGGGAGGCAGCAGUGGGGAAUAUUGCACAAUGGGCGGAAGCCUGAUGCAGAAACGCCGCGUGCGGGAUGACGGCCUUCGGGUUGUAAACCGCUUUAGACUGUGACGAAGCGUGAGUGACGGUAAUGGGUAAAGAAGCACCGGCUAACUACGUG